rnacentral:rRNA from 1 species
GAACGCUGGCGGCGUGCCUAACACAUGCAAGUCGUACGAGAAAUCCCGAGCUUGCUUGGGAGAGUAAAGUGGCGUACGGGUGAGUAUCGCGUGGGUAACCUACCCCUGAAUCUGGGAUAACUUCGCGAAAGCGAAGCUAAUACCGGAUAAGACCACAGCCGCUCCGGCGGCAGAGGUAAAAGCUGACCUCUCCAUGGAAGUUAGCGUUUGGGAGGGCCCGCGUCCUAUCAGCUUGUUGGUGGGGUAACGGCCUACCAAGGCUGCGACGGGUAGCUGGUCUGAGAGGAUGAUCAGCCACACUGGAACUGGAACACGGUCCAGACUCCUACGGGAGGCAGCAGUGAGGAAUUUUGCGCAAUGGGCGCAAGCCUGACGCAGCAACGCCGCGUGGGUGAAGAAGGCCUUCGGGUCGUAAAGCCCUGUCAGGUGGGAAGAACCACUUCAGCACCAAUAAUGCUGAAGUCUGACGGUACCACCAGAGGAAGCACCGGCCAACUCCGUG